rnacentral:rRNA from 1 species
AGUGAACGCUGGCGGUAGGCCUAACACAUGCGAGUCGAACGGCAGCACAGUAAGAGCUUGCUCUUACGGGUGGCGAGUGGCGGACGGGUGAGGAAUACAUCGGAAUCUACUUUUUCGUGGGGGAUAACGUAGGGAAACUUACGCUAAUACCGCAUACGACCUACGGGUGAAAGCAGGGGAUCUUCGGACCUUGCGCGAUUGAAUGAGCCGAUGUCGGAUUAACUAGUUGGCGGGGUAAAGGCCCACCAAGGCGACGAUCCGUAGCUGGUCUGAGAGGAUGAUCAGCCACACUGGAACUGAGACACGGUCCAGACUCCUACGGGAGGCCGCAGUGGGGAAUAUUGGACAAUGGGCGCAAGCCUGAUCCAGCCAUACCGCGUGGGUGAAGAAGGCCUUCGGGUUGUAAAGCCCUUUUGUUGGGAAAGAAAAGCAGCAGGUUAAUACCCCGCUGUUCUGACGGUACCCAAAGAAUAAGCACCGGCUAACUUCGUG